CCUACGGGGGGCAGCAGUGGGGAAUAUUGGACAAUGGGGGGAACCCUGAUCCAGCCAUGCCGCGUGUGUGAAGAAGGCCCUCGGGUUGUAAAGCACUUUCAGUGAGGAAGAACGCCUGGUGGUUAAUACCCAUCAGGAAAGACAUCACUCACAGAAGAAGCACCGGCUAACUCCGUGCCAGCAGCCGCGGUAAUACGGAGGGUGCGAGCGUUAAUCGGAAUUACUGGGCGUAAAGCGCGCGUAGGUGGCUUGAUAAGCCGGUUGUGAAAGCCCCGGGCUCAACCUGGGAACGGCAUCCGGAACUGUCAAGCUAGAGUGCAAGAGAGGAAGGUAGAAUUCCCGGUGUAGCGGUGAAAUGCGUAGAGAUCGGGAGGAAUACCAGUGGCGAAGGCGGCCUUCUGGACUGACACUGACACUGAGGUGCGAAAGCGUGGGUAGCAAACAGGAUUAUAUACCCCAGUAGUC
rnacentral:rRNA from 1 species